UACAUGGGGUGCAAACGUUGCUCGGAAUCAUUGGGCGUAAAGCGCGCGUAGGCGGUUACUUAAGUCGGAUGUGAAAGCCCUUGGCUCAACUGAGGAAGUGCACCCGAAACUGAGUGGCUUGAGUACGAAAGAGGGUCGCGGAAUUCCCGGUGUAGAGGUGAAAUUCGUAGAUAUCGGGAGGAACACCGGUGGCGAAGGCGGCGACCUGGGUCGAUACUGACGCUGAUGCGCGAAAGCGUGGGGAGCAAACAGG
rnacentral:rRNA from 1 species